GUUGGGUGCAGUGGAGCACACCUGUAAUCCCAGCAGCUUGGGAAGCUGAGGCAGGAGGAUCACGAGUUCAAAGCCAGCCUCAGCAACAGUGAGGUACUGAGCAACUCAGUGAGACUCUGUCUCUA
rnacentral:sRNA from 1 species